UGCCGGCAAAUAUGAAACGAUGCGGCAGCAGUCCCCGGGGAUUUAUGUACGGAAUAAUUUAUUUUGGACUAAAUGUUUUUAUUGGAUUGGAUCGUCUGGACCUUUGACAACGUAACAAGACCAUUUUUGUUGGAAUACAAUCGAUUGGUGGAUUACUAUGAGGCUUCAUAGCUGCCGCCAGGACCUCAGGCUGUUGGAAUGUUAAGCGGUUAAAGAUGUCUGAGAACACCGGAGACAGCUGAUCAGCACAGCGCUUCAGGGUGGAUGGGGAGACAGAGUCCAGCUGAGCUGCUUUGCGAGGUUUCUGCUUCCUGAACAGUUGACAUCCCUCUUCAGGACGGUCCACUCACCUCCGUCCUCCAGUGAGUCAGCUGGGCUUGCCUACCUGCCCUCUCCUCUCGGGCGUCUUCCACGGCACCUUCUUGGUUCCGACAUUUGUACAGGGGAAGCUAUGGCUACAUCUUCAAAUACCCCCCUCCCAUAAGAUGAUGAUCUGUGGAUAUUUCUCCAGAGCCGAGGGAUUCCUGAGGAAAAAUAUUCAGAAAAUGCAGCAAGAUCAUAUUGACAGCUCAGUAGUUGGAGAAAUAGAUGAUGCCACUAUGACUGCUUAAAUUCCAGCAUAUGGCAAUAGGACUGCUACAAGGCGUUUCUCUAAGGAAAAACAGAGAAAAGGUGGCCGUGAUCUAAAAAGAUUGUCCUUAUUGGAAAAACUUAAAAGAAAGAUGGGCACAUUGGUAAGCAAUAAAGACACAGAUCAAGAUUCUGAGGAGGAGCAUUCUAUGCAGCCAACAAAGAUGCAUCUGAGAAGUAAUAAAAGGGCCUUGAAGAUGAAGGAAAAUAGAACUAGGAUGGAUACGCGACAAGAAACAAGUGAGAAAACACAAUGGUGAAGGAACCAGAGUUCAUGAUAUUUCCAAGAAAGCCACAAAAUGAUUUUAAAGUUGCAAAAAAGCUAUUUUUCCCCAAGGACAAAUUGAGAACAAGAAAGUGGGAAGAGUUCAGUCACAACUUAGUUGACUUUCAGGAAGCAUACCUUGAUGAGGGUGUUAGUGAGAGCUCUGUAAGACACAUAAAUUGGGGAUUUUAAGAUUUUACUUGUUUACAGAGCACCUGACUGUUACAUUCCUCCGGAUGGCAAGUCCAGGGGUAGGAGGAGCAACAAUGUUUAAAAUAAAACCGGGACAAAAGAGGACAGGAAGUCUGGAUAACUUGCAAGCCAAAAAUUAUAUUUAUUAUAAUGUUGACAGAAACAAGUGUACAACUAGUCCUCACUUCAGUCUCCACUGAAGAGGUUAAACCAGACACAUGGUUCUGGACUCACGGAAAACCAAGCUGCUGUUCAACCCACUGGUUGAAAGGUCUGCCACUGUCUGCUGGUCUGGCUGGUUGGCAGCGAUCUGCUUACUGGAGUUUAGUUCCCUUUCACAGGGAACUCAACACUGCAUCGUUGAAAAUGACUCUAUGGGGAAGCUCCUCGAGCGCCUGCCUCUGAAGUAUGAAUGAAACUAAUCCAAUCCUAAUUGGUGUCGUGCCGUGGCGCAUCAUGUGACGGCAUACCCGGCAUAAAAGGACGCCGGCACACACAUACAACAGCUUUUCGCUCUUCAGCAAGCGCUCUCUGUGAAACUGUCCUCUUCUCUGGUGAGCUGUCUGUCGUGAGACUUUUUUGAAUGGCGAGGUGAGAAACAGCGAUACACUCAGUGUGUGUACCCCUGCCCUAGAUAUAUCACGGGUAGGGACACACAUCAGGAGCGCAGAACGCACAGGCGGCUCUCGAGGGAGCUGUGACGGACUCCCUCUCAGAGUGCUGCGCUCUCGCCGGGCCGUGUUUGGAGAAGAUGGCCAGGCUCGCGAUCCCCGCUGCUUGGGUCCCACGGCCGUUGAGGCGGCACGACGGCUGCAAUCGUGGGGAUCGCAAAGGGAUCUUGUGGAUGUGAACGAGGCUUCUGAGGCACUUCCUCGUUCAUCGUUCGGAUGAUUUGCGGCUUCCUCUGCCCACGGCGACCACCCGAUGCUCAAGCUGUCCGCUUCUGAGGAGGUGGACGUGCUCAGCAUUGGCAGCGAGGAACGUGAGCCUUGUUCACCGACUCUGGUUCCCGCUUAUGAUGAGCUGGUGGAGGUUGUGGCCAGGCUCAACAUCAGCUGGCCGCACACUCGGCAGGCUGAUCCUUCUCUGAGCAAGCUGGACAUUAGGUUCCAGCAGUGCCGGUCCCGACCGCAGCGACGGGGCUUGCCGUUUUUCCCAGAUCUUCAUGACGAGAUCUCCAGAUCCUGGGUGACCCGCAGCCACAGAUCCAGACUCCACAGCUCCAGAGCCAGAAAACCUGCAG